CCUACGGGAGGCAGCAGUGGGGAAUAUUGCACAAUGGGGGAAACCCUGAUGCAGCGACGCCGCGUGAGUGAAGAAGUAUCUCGGUACGUAAAGCUCUAUCAGCCGGGAAGAAAAUGACGGUACCUGACUAAGAAGACCCGGCUAACGACGUGCAAGCAGCCGCGGUAAUACGUAGGGGGCAAGCGUUAUCCGGAUUUACUGGGGGUAAAGGGAGCGUAGACGGCAGCACAAGUCUGGAGGGAAAUGCCGGGGCUUAACCCCGGAACUGCUUUGGAAACUGUGCGGCUGGAGUGCAGGAGGGGUAAGCGGAAUUCCUAGUGUAGCGGUGAAAUGCGUAGAUAUUAGGAGGAACACCGGUGGCGAAGGCGGCUUACUGGACUGUAACUGACGUUGAGGCUCGAAAGCGUGGGGAGCAAACAGGAUUAGAUACCCUAGUAGUC
rnacentral:rRNA from 1 species